AUUGAACGCUGGCGGCAGGCCUAACACAUGCAAGUCGAACGGUAACAGGAAGCAGCUUGCUGCUUCGCUGACGAGUGGCGGACGGGUGAGUAAUGUCUGGGAAGCUGCCUGAUGGAGGGGGAUAACUACUGGAAACGGUAGCUAAUACCGCAUAAUGUCGCAAGACCAAAGAGGGGGACCUUCGGGCCUCUUGCCAUCGGAUGUGCCCAGAUGGGAUUAGCUUGUUGGUGGGGUAACGGCUCACCAAGGCGACGAUCCCUAGCUGGUCUGAGAGGAUGACCAGCCACACUGGAACUGAGACACGGUCCAGACUCCUACGGGAGGCAGCAGUGGGGAAUAUUGCACAAUGGGCGCAAGCCUGAUGCAGCCAUGCCGCGUGUAUGAAGAUGGCCUUCGGGUUGCAAAGUACUUUCAGCGGGGAGGAAGGGAGUAAAGUUAAUACCUUUGCUCAUUGACGUUACCCGCAGAAGAAGCACCGGCUAACUCCGUG
rnacentral:rRNA from 1 species